rnacentral:rRNA from 1 species
GACGAACCGUCCAAACGUUAUUCGGAAUCGCUGGGCUUAAAGGGUGCGUAGGCGGCCCGGAAAGUUGGGUGUGAAAGCCCUCGGCUCAACCGAGGAAUUGCGCCCAAAACUACCGGGCUCGAGGAAGACAGAGGUAAGCGGAACUUAGGGUGGAGCGGUGAAAUGCGUUGAUAUCCUAAGGAACACCAGGAGCGAAAGCGGCUUACUGGGUCUUUUCUGACGCUGAGGCACGAAAGCUAGGGGAGCAAACAGG